AGCGAACGCUGGCGGCAGGCCUAAUACAUGCAAGUCGAACGCACCUUCGGGUGAGUGGCGGACGGGUGAGUAACGCGUGGGAACGUGCCCUUUGGUACGGAACAACUGAGGGAAACUUCAGCUAAUACCGUAUGUGCCCUUCGGGGGAAAGAUUUAUCGCCAUUGGAGCGGCCCGCGUUGGAUUAGCUAGUUGGUGGGGUAAAGGCUCACCAAGGCUACGAUCCAUAGCUGGUCUGAGAGGAUGAUCAGCCACACUGGGACUGAGACACGGCCCAGACUCCUACGGGAGGCAGCAGUAGGGAAUCUUGCGCAAUGGGCGAAAGCCUGACGCAGCCAUGCCGCGUGAAUGAUGAAGGUCUUAGGAUUGUAAAAUUCUUUCACCGGGAAGAUAAUGACGGUACCCGGAGAAGAAGCCCCGGCUAACUUCGUGCCAGCAGCCGCCGCAGUAA
rnacentral:rRNA from 1 species